rnacentral:misc_RNA from 1 species
CCCUCCCACUAAAUCACUCCAAAAAAAAAAAAAAAAAAAAGCAAUCCCCGAUUCUACCUGAAGUGUUUCUACACUAACAAAGCAACAGCUCUGCUUAACGAAUUCCCAACUUUACACGAGCUCGUCUCUCGAGGUUAAAUGUUAUUACUUGGUAAGAUUCCCGGACCUCGCCAAGUGUUUUGAAAACCCGCAACGCUCGCAAAGAGUGGAUAGUGAGAAUAAUAAGUGAAGAGACAGACUUGUCCAAAACGCCCACCACGAAGGUGCAUAGUGAGAAAAGAGUAAGUCAAAGAGAUAGACUUGUCCAAAAGAAACGGAAGAAAGCGUGAGGGAGACGCUCACGAAGGUGCAUAGUGAGAAGAGUAAGUCGAGAGACGAGACUUGUUCGAAAAGAAACAGAAGAGAAUGCUUGGGGUUACACUCACGAAGGUGCAUAGUGAGAAGAGUAAGUCAAGAGACAGACUUGUUCGAAAAAAGAAACAAAGAGAAUGCUUGGGGAGAUAGAAGUGUGAGAUAGUUCUCAAGCUAAGAAAGUUGUAAAAGCUAAGAACUAGCAUCAAAUGAUGGAUGAAACACAAGGUAGUUGUUGAAAAGUCAAACACUUGGUGAUAUGAACACUGAAACGUUCAAUAUGACAAACUGCCAUGCCAGUAAGAGAAAAUGAAAACUGGUGAUUGUUGCGGAAAUCGUCCAGGAUUCCUCGACAACAGGACUUGAAAUCGUCGAGGGGAAAAAUCGGUUCCGGGAAGGAAUCGUCGAUCCCGGACUUGGAAUCGUCGAGAAAAGUUUACCGGGUCGAGGAUUUUGUCGAC